UUUAAAGUCUAACCUGCCCAAUGAGGAGUUCAAUGGCCGCGGUAUUUUGACCGUGCAAAGGUAGCAUAAUCAUUAGUUUUUUAAUUGAAAGCUGGUAUGAAUGGUUGGACGAGAAAGCGACUGUCUCAAUUUAAUUGAAGUAGAAUUUUAUUUUUAAGUUAAAAAGCUUAAAUGAGUUUAAAAGACGAGAAGACCCUAUAGAGUUUAAUAUAUAUUAUUAAUACUUAAUUAUUAGUAUAUAUGAAUAGGUAUAUUAAUAUGUAUUUUGUUGGGGUGACAGGAAAAUAGACUUAACUUUUCCUACAUUAGUACAUUAAUUUAUGAGUGUAUGAUCCGUUGUUAGCGAUUAUAAGAUUAAAUUACCUUAGGGAUAACAGCGUAAUUCUUUUUGAGAGUUCUAAUCGAAAAGAGAGUUUGCGACCUCGAUGUUGGAUUAAAAUUAAUUUCUGGUGUAGAAGCUAGAAUAUUAGGUCUGUUCGACCUUUAAAAUUUUACAUGAUCUGAGUUUAAACCGGUGUAAGCCAGGUUGGUUUCUAUCUUUAAAUAGUUAAAGUAUCUUAGUACGAAAGGACCAGGUAUUUAUAAUAGUUAUUUAAUAUUGAAUAUUAGUAAUA
rnacentral:rRNA from 1 species